CACGUAGGGCGCAAGCGUUGUCCGGAAUUAUUGGGCGUAAAGAGCUCGUAGGCGGUCUGUUGCGUCCGCUGUGAAAACUCGGGGCUUAACCCCGAGCCUGCAGUGGAUACGGGCAGACUAGAGGUAGGUAGGGGAGAAUGGAAUUCCCGGUGUAGCGGUGAAAUGCGCAGAUAUCGGGAGGAACACCGGUGGCGAAGGCGGUUCUCUGGGCCUUACCUGACGCUGAGGAGCGAAAGUGUGGGGAGCGAACAGG
rnacentral:rRNA from 1 species